GUAGGUGGCAAGCGUUGUCCGGAAUUAUUGGGCGUAAAGCGCGCGCAGGCGGUCCUUUAAGUCUGAUGUGAAAGCCCACGGCUCAACCGUGGAGGGUCAUUGGAAACUGGGGGACUUGAGUGCAGAAGAGGAGAGUGGAAUUCCACGUGUAGCGGUGAAAUGCGUAGAGAUGUGGAGGAACACCAGUGGCGAAGGCGACUCUCUGGUCUGUAACUGACGCUGAGGCGCGAAAGCGUGGGGAGCGAACAGG
rnacentral:rRNA from 1 species